GAUGAAGAACGUAGCGAAAUGCGAUAAGUAAUGCGAAUUGCAGAAUUCCAGUGAGUCAUCGAAUCUUUGAACGCACAUUGCGCCCUUUGGUAUUCCGAAGGGCAUGCCUGUUCGAGCGUCAUUAUCACCCCUCAAGCCCUCGGCUUGGUGUUGGACGGUUUGGUGGAGGCCCCCUCGGGGGUUCCUGCCCCUCCCAAAGACAAUGACGGCGGCCUCGUUGGACCCCCGGUACACUGAGUUCUUCACGGGACACGUAUCGGACACAUGGGUUUACGUGACACGGUCUGCCUCCCCUCAGGGAGAAUCUUUCUAAGGUUGACCUCGGAUCAGGUAGGGAUACCCGCUGAACUUAAGCAUAUCAAUAAGCGGAGGA
rnacentral:misc_RNA from 1 species